CCUACGGGGAGCAGCAGUGAGGAAUAUUGGUCAAUGGUCGGGAGACUGAACCAGCCAAGCCGCGUGAGGGAUGAAGGUACAGAGUAUCGUAAACCUCUUUUGUCAGGGAACAAAGGCGGGGACGUGUCCCCGGAUGAGUGUACCUGAAGAAAAAGCAUCGGCUAACUCCGUGCCAGCAGCCGCGGUAAUACGGAGGAUGCGAGCGUUAUCCGGAUUUAUUGGGUUUAAAGGGUGCGCGGGCGGUCUGUUAAGUUAGCGGUAAAAGCCCGGGGCUCAACCCCGGACCGCCGUUGAAACUGGCAGUAUAGAGUUGGAGAGAAGUAUGCGGAAGGCGUGGUGUAGCGGUGAAAUGCAUAGAUAUCACGCAGAACUCCGAUUGCGAAGGCAGCAUACCGGCGCUCAACUGACGCUCAUGCACGAAAGUGUGGGUAUCGAACAGGAUUAGAUACCCGAGUAGUC
rnacentral:rRNA from 1 species